rnacentral:misc_RNA from 1 species
CCCUGACUGCAGCUGGGUGAGUG